rnacentral:rRNA from 1 species
GUGAGGAAUAUUGGUCAAUGGACGAAAGUCUGAACCAGCCAUGCCGCGUGAAGGAAUAAGGCCCUAUGGGUCGUAAACUUCUUUUGUAUGUGAGCAAUAAGGUCCACGUGUGGUCCGAUGAGAGUAGCAUACGAAUAAGCAUCGGCUAACUCCGUGCCAGCAGCCGCGGUAAUACGGAGGAUGCAAGCGUUAUCCGGAUUCAUUGGGUUUAAAGGGUGCGUAGGCGGCUUGGUAAGUCAGCGGUGAAAUUCCAGUGCUCAACAUUGGCCGUGCCGUUGAUACUGCUGGGCUUGAAUGCGGAUGCCGUGGGAGGAAUGUGUGGUGUAGCGGUGAAAUGCAUAGAUAUCACACAGAACACCGAUUGCGAAGGCAUCUCACGAAUCCGCAAUUGACGCUGAGGCACGAAAGUGUGGGGAUCAAACAGGAUUAGAAACCCCUGUAGUCC